GCUAAACGACGUCGAACUUGUUUCAGCCGCAAGCAGUCAACUCCAACUUGACUCCAAAACAAGAACCACAAAGUCUCGCGAGAUGAGGAGUGACGUCGCAAUUCGAUCCCGGAAAUCUUUUCACAAAUCAGCAUAAUGGCCGACGAGCAAAUGAUGAACUUCCCAGCCAACUGCCCAUUCAUCGUUGGAGGUUCAUAUCGGAAACUAUAGCCACACGCCUCGACGUUUUCGCCUUGAGGAUUUGUGUCACAUCUGACCUGAUGCAACCUCAGCUUCUCCAUCAGCCCUGUCCACAGCACUUUUAAGCAUAACCGGCCGGAUGCAAUGAGCCCAUCCAUUUCCAUCUUCUGCUCGCCGCUGUCACUCUAAUCGCAGUUACUGCUCAAUCUUUACUCUUAAUAGUACGGAAACCAUGUCUGGCUCGGGUGACUUACCAGCUCUGGAAGGUUCCGGGAUGGGCGGAAUGAAGCUCCCCAUCGGCAUGACCCGCCGGGCGCUCAGCUACGACGACAACCUGGAGGCGCCGAUGUCCACGCCCCCGCACGACAUCAACAUCACCAACCUGUGGAGGCGCCCCGUCGUGCCCGAGAGGAAGUUCAACCACCUGGCGGAGGAGGAUGAAGGCGUUGCGGUUGGUCAAUCGAAGGUGUUGGACAGCGCCUCGUCCAGGUCCGCGGGUGUAGUGAAGACCAAGGCUUCCUCCCUCAUCCUCAACUCUCUCAUCACCAAGCAGUCCCACGACAGCAUGUACAAGUUUGAAGAGAAGGCGGGCCUAACCGACACCAGUUACACUCCGCACAAAGGCCUGACGGCAGAGGAGACGAGACACCAUCACCGCAUGCCUGAAUCCUUCCAGAAAAUGCAGAUUCAGAGCAUGGAGGCUCGAGAAGAGCGCCAGAACUCGUCGGCCCAGUCCACACCAUCCACCACGCCGCACACCUCCCCAAAACAACAGCGCAGGACCUGGUUCAGCAGCACCAGUUCGGACGUCAGCGUCAGCUCCUCCAACAGCAGUGUGGAUCUGGUAGGAGGCGGCGGCGGCGUGCUGGAGCGCUGGGGCGUGUUUGGGCCACGGCCGCCGGUGCACAAGUCCACUUCCGAUCUGGGCACCGAUCCCAUCGCGCCAGCAGGCUUUGCGCUUCAGGCUUACCGCGGCAUCCACAAGCCCAGCGCCGCGGAGGUCAUGAAGUCGCAGGCGGCCACCCGGUUGGCCGACGGCCCCGACGCCCAGAGGGCCGCCGCCCUGCCCAAGAUGGAGAUCCCGACGGCGGAGGGGCGGCGGCAGGGCGCCCGCCCGCACAAGCUCAAGCCGCGCGACAUGAACAUCCUUACGCCCUCCGGCUUCUAGACGCCGCCGCAGCCCGUCCCGCGACCACUCUGAUGAGGUCACACGGUCUCCCAUUUUCAGCUCUCAAAAUGGCAGCUCCCAUGUACGGUGCGACUUCAGAACAUAAUCAAUGUUUGUUUGUAGCAUUUUCACACAGAAUGGAAUCCAAAUAGAGCAAAGUGUCCUCUUUGGAGCAGGAAGGCAGGCGUUGGCAGAGUGAUUGAUACCAGUGAGCAUCUUGUGGCAUUUCAUAGGUCAGUCUGUCAAAGUGGAUCACAAUGAACAACUUCGACGCUUGUUACGAAAUGAGAUUUGCCCUAGGCGUGAUGAGCAUUUGAUUUUGGAUGUAAAAUUUGAUUUUUAAAAUGAUAGUGUUUUAUGAAUUAACAUUUAGUUCAAAAUAACACGUGUCGUAUUUUGCUUUUUUAUUUGAUUUGAAAGCCCAUUCUGCUAUAUCAAACCAUAUGCAUAGAGCUACUCUUUAAGAUGCGUCGUUCUCUCUUUCCCUCAUCCCCCCGUUCCCGUGUUCUGAUCUUUCCGCGUGUCCGGAAAAACAGCUCCAUGUCCGCCUGCAGUGUGGCGUUGCGGUGGUCCGCAGCCGCCCUGGCCCGCUCAGCCUGGCGGAUCCUGACCGCCGCCGCGCUCUGACUGCGCCUCUGCCGCUCCAGGCGGUCACGCAGUGCUGCCACCUGCCGCUCGAGGGCGUCAUUGCAGCGCUCCAACCUGUGCGACGCGUGUUUGUUUUUAACCUGUGUAUCCUGGACUGGUACUCGGACCUCUGCUGGGCCAUUUGCUGUCGAAGUUGGCCGAGGAGAGACUGAGCAUCGUCAGGCUGCGACUGAGGUUCCGGAGGACCGGACGGUAGGAACACCUCUGAGCUCCCGGUGCUGAUGGGGCUGAGGAUGGACCCGGAUGUCGGGGUGUUCAGGCGUCUUCCGUUAUGGUCACUGUCUGUGUCACCGUCAAGAUGUUUGUCAUCUGCAGCUUGACGUGAGGGGGACGUCAAGACUGGACUACCCCGACCUGCAGGAUAUUGGCUCUCGUCCAGAGGUAUAAUCUCGCAGGAGGACCACGACGAGGAGUCGCCCACUGUCUGCCACGCCUCCUCUGAUUCUUGGCCAGAGUUUCCCUCGCUGUUUGGGUCCAAAUGCUCACCUGCAAUGUCGUCCAAUGUCUGACUGGAAGACGCUCUGUCCAAGUUGUCAUAAUGGGAUGGCGUGCUGUCUUCCUGCGCCUCACUGCUGCCCCCGCUGGCCACUUCGGGGCCCUCAACUUUAGCGACUGCCAUCUGAGUGGCACUUGAACUCCACAGGUAGCCCCCUGCUGCUGCUGCUGCUGCUGCUGCUGCUGGUGGUGGAAAAUAACCAAGUACAAAUAUGAGGAGCUGACUCGAGGGAGGUAGCGGGAAGAAGCAGUUUUCCGGAUGCGAUGAGGUGUAGCGAUGGCCCAGGAAGCUCUCGUGGUUUGAGGUCACCUCCGACGACAAAGGGAUUGAGCUGCACGAGCAAGUGAAACAGCGUUGGGCUCUGUUGUCAAUCAACUGGAGUCAUUUUGCCACCUCUGGCUUUCAAUUGGUUUGACA